rnacentral:rRNA from 1 species
UUCCUAGUAAGCGUGAGUCAUCAGCUCGCGUUGAUUACGUCCCUGCCCUUUGUACACACCGCCCGUCGCUACUACCGAUUGAAUGGCUUAGUGAGACCUCCGGAUUGGCUUUGGGGAGUCGGCAACGACACCUUAUUGCUGAGAAGUUGGUCAAACUUGGUCAUUUAGAGGAAGUAAAAGUCGUAACAAGGUUUCCGUAGGUGAACCUGCGGAAGGAUCAUUAAUGAAAUUUAUGACUGGGGUUGUCGCUGGCCUUUAAAAACGGCAUGUGCACGCCCCUUUCACUAAUCCACACACACCUGUGCACCUUCGCGGGGGCUCUCGGGGAACCGACGCAAGUCGUAAGUACCGGAGCUCGCGUCCCUUUACACACCCCUUUGUAUGUCUUAAGAAUGUCUACUCGAUGUAAUAAAACGCAUCUAAUACAACUUUCAACAACGGAUCUCUUGGCUCUCGCAUCGAUGAAGAACGCAGCGAAAUGCGAUAAGUAAUGUGAAUUGCAGAAUUCAGUGAAUCAUCGAAUCUUUGAACGCACCUUGCGCCCUUUGGUAUUCCGAAGGGCACACCUGUUUGAGUGUCGUGAAAUUCUCAACCCUCUUCACUUUUUUGGUGAAGCCAGGGCUUGGACUUGGAGGCUUUGCCGGCUCUGCUCGGCUCCUCUCAAAUGCAUUAGUGCGUCUUGUUGCGACGUGCGCCUCGGUGUGAUAAUUAUCUACGCUGUGGUGUGCUUGCUUCUGUGGAGACGCGCUUUCAAACCGUCCGAAAGGACAACUUUCAUCGAACUUUGACCUCAAAUCAGGUGGGACUACCCGCUGAACUUAA